UGGCUCAGAACGAACGCUGGCGGCGUGCCUAACACAUGUAAGUCGAACGCGAAAGUCCCGCAAGGGAUCAGUAGAGUGGCAAACGGGUGAGUAACACGUGGGUGACCUGCCUUCGAGCGGGGGAUAACGUCCCGAAAGGGACGCUAAUACCGCAUGACAUCCUGCCUUUGAAGAGGUGGACAUCAAAGCCGGGGAUCGCAAGACCUGGCGCUUGAAGAGGGGCCCGCGUCCGAUUAGCUAGUUGGUGGGGUAAUGGCUCACCAAGGCGACGAUCGGUAUCCGGCCUGAGAGGGCGGACGGACACACUGGGACUGAGACACGGCCCAGAGACCUACGGGAGGCAGC
rnacentral:rRNA from 1 species